rnacentral:ribozyme from 1 species
AGUUGAGUUUGAGGCCAUAGCAGAAGUGCUCAUGGUAUGGCUAUGUCAGAUUCCAAUAAAUCUGCAAAUUCUACU